UGCGUACAUAGUUUAUACUAAGUGACCCAUAGGUUGAGGAGGUGGUGACCGUGGCGGUGUAGGUGGAAGCAGCGGUGGAGGAGGAGGAUGAGGUAGCUAACACUGUUUUUUUAUAUAUAUAUACAUGUGACGGUGCAUUUGGAUGUCAUCCAUAUCAACUUUCAAUGCCAGCUUCUGCGCCUACCAUGGUGACCACGGGUAAAGGGGAAUCAGGGUUCCAUUCCGUACAGGGACCCUGAGAAACGGCUACCACAUGUAAGGAAGGCA